CCUCCAGGACUGUCAUAGAUCCAGAGCAGGCCACACUUAAGGUGCCAGAGUCUCUGUGUGUGAGUACACCUCAUGUCCCAUGUGGACUGAGAGAAGAGAGAGAAAACGAAAAGGAACAGAGUACCUGUACACGCAUGGCCUGGUUUCAGGGAUGGCUACACGUGGCUCUGCCCCCGUAAGUCCCCUGCUCCUGUGGAGGGACUGUGCUGACGGACCACUGUGCAGCAAAGGGGAGCCUCAUUCAUCCAUCAAGAGACCGGCUUUUCCUCUUGCUCCAACACCAGACAGAAUUUAUUCCACAUUGGAGUGGAAACUGGUGUGUGUUUCUUGGCCAUAAGCUUGCUGGGAUGAGAGUUCCCUGGGGGUCCAAACCUGUUUUAUGUUUUUUGCCUCUUUCUCCUAGUCCAGGGUGCUCACAGACUCCUGGAACGAGAGUUAAAAAUGUGAACUUGUUCUACACAAGAUCAUCUGAAGUUUGGCUGUGAAGGUUUUAGAGAUCUUCAUAUCUCGAUACAGAUACCGCAUGCUUACAUGCACAUAUGGGCACAUGCUUAAAUAUGCACAUACAGGGAGCCUGUUGAUUGUCAUGCAUCAACUAGUAGAAACAGACCCUCCUGUUAGUUUAGCUUUUUGAUGGGUCUAAAAUGAUGAAAUUCUGUUACUAUUUUAAAUUUUGAAGUCUGGAGAGAUGGCUCGGUGAUUAAGGUCACCUCCGCAUCCCUGUCACUCAGCUCAGAACAGCAGGUAACUUCAGCGCCCUCUUCUGGCCUCUACGGGCAUCUGCACUCGAGUGUACGUAAACAUAUGCAUAAUUUAAAAAUAAAAAUAAAUGUGUUCGAAAAUUCUGAAA